GAUGAACGCUGGCGGCGUGCCUAAUACAUGCAAGUCGAGCGAACAGAUGAGGAGCUUGCUCCUCUGACGUUAGCGGCGGACGGGUGAGUAACACGUGGAUAACCUACCUAUAAGACUGGGAUAACUUCGGGAAACCGGAGCUAAUGCCGGAUAAUAUAUUGAACCGCAUGGUUCAAUAGUGAAAGACGGUUUUGCUGUCACUUAUAGAUGGAUCCGCGCCGCAUUAGCUAGUUGGUAAGGUAACGGCUUACCAAGGCAACGAUGCGUAGCCGACCUGAGAGGGUGAUCGGCCACACUGGAACUGAGACACGGUCCAGACUCCUACGGGAGGCAGCAGUAGGGAAUCUUCCGCAAUGGGCGAAAGCCUGACGGAGCAACGCCGCGUGAGUGAUGAAGGUCUUCGGAUCGUAAAACUCUGUUAUUGGGGAAGAACAAAUGUGUAAGUAACUAUGCACGUCUUGACGGUACCUAAUCAGAAAGCCACGGCUAACUACGUG
rnacentral:rRNA from 1 species